rnacentral:lncRNA from 1 species
ACAACAGCUAUCAAUCAACCAGGGCCCGCCCCCUCUAGGACCACUGACCAAUGUGAACUGACUUACCUCUGCAGGCGAUCAGGGAUUGGCCGAGCCAACCGCCAGAUCCAAAGAUGCGGCGUUUCACAGUGUCUCUAGGGAGGAGGAUCUAGCCACUCCAUCGAGGAGCUGGAUUGGCUGAGCUCCCCGGCCUGCGAUGACGUGACAGAAGGGGCAGCCACUGGCACCAGGAAGGAUGUGUAUCAGCUGGGAGGAGAUGGACAUCGAUCAGAUCGAGAGGAACUGAACCUGGGUCGUUUUCAUUAGGCACAAAACGGAACAAAACAGACGGAAACGAGGAGCAGGAACCUGGAUAUGUCCAAUGAGAAGUGCUGCAAGAUGUUAAUGCAUUUUUUCUCAUGUUCCCGAAUGAACAUGACCCGUGAACUAUUCUUACCACCUCAGGGGAAUGGGGACUGCAUGACCCCUGAACUAUUCUUACCACCCCUCAGGGUAAGGGACUAAUGACCCUGAACUAUUCUUACCACCCUCAGGGAAUGGGACGGAAUGAACAUGACCCUACUAUUCUACACCCUCAGGAAAAUGGGACGAAUGAAACAUGACCCUGAAUUAUGCUUACCACCCUCAGGAAUGGGACUGAAUGAACAGGACCCUGAAUUAUGCUUACACCAUCAGGGAAGGGACGAAUGACCCUGAACUAUUCUUACCACCCUCAGGAGGAUGGGACUGAAUGAACAUGCCCUGAACUAUUCUUACCACCCUCAGGAGGAUGGGACGGAAUGACCCUGAAUUAUGCUUACCACCCUCAGGAGGAGGGACGAAUGAACAUGACCCUGAAUUAUGCUUACCACCCUCAGGAGAAGGACCCUGAACUAUCUUACCACCCUCAGGAGAAUGGGACUGAACUAUGCUUACCACCCUCAGGAGAAUGACCCUGAACUAUUCUUACCACCCUCAGGAGAAUGGGACGUGAAAGGAAAGAGGGUGUUGGUGGUACAGAGGUAAACCCCUGACAGCUUAAAGGACAACGACAAGUAGAGUACAG